UACGGAGGGGGCUAGCGUUGUUCGGAAUUAUUGGGCGUAAAGAGCUCGUAGGCGGUCUGUCACGUCGGCUGUGAAAUCCCGAGGCUCAACCUCGGGUCUGCAGUCGAUACGGGCAAACUAGAGUAUUGCAGGGGAGACUGGAAUUCCUGGUGUAGCGGUGAAAUGCGCAGAUAUCAGGAGGAACACCGGUGGCGAAGGCGGGUCUCUGGGCAAUAACUGACGCUGAGGAGCGAAAGCGUGGGGAGCGAACAGG
rnacentral:rRNA from 1 species